AGUGAACGCUGGCGGUAGGCCUAACACAUGCGAGUCGAACGGCAGCACAGUAAGAGCUUGCUCUUACGGGUGGCGAGUGGCGGACGGGUGAGGAAUACAUCGGAAUCUACUUUUUCGCGGGGGAUAACGUAGGGAAACUUACGCUAAUACCGCAUACGACCUACGGGUGAAAGCAGGGGAUCUUCGGACCUUGCGCGAUUGAAUGAGCCGAUGUCGGAUUAGCUAGUUGGCGGGGUAAAGGCCCACCAAGGCGACGAUCCGUAGCUGGUCUGAGAGGAUGAUCAGCCACACUGGAACUGAGACACGGUCCAGACUCCUACGGGAGGCAGCAGUGGGGAAUAUUGGACAAUGGGCGCAAGCCUGAUCCAGCCAUACCGCGUGGGUGAAGAAGGCCUUCGGGUUGUAAAGCCCUUUUGUUGGGAAAGAAAAGCAGCAGGUUAAUACCCCGCUGUUCUGACGGUACCCAAAGAAUAAGCACCGGCUAACUUCGUG
rnacentral:rRNA from 1 species